GCUCAGUAAGCCAACAGCAGUGCUCCAGGCUGGUGCAGCUCUGUGGGCAGCCAGCCUAGCCGUGCCUUGCUGCUGGCACAGAAGCGACUCGAGCCAGCACGUCAAAUCCCAGCCCAUGUUGCAGGUGAACUGAGCUGCUUGAGCAAAGCACUCGUCACAGCAGGCACUUUUUCUCACUUUUCUUCCAGACCCCAGCCCAGAGUGGAGCACAUGCCCUUUAUAUGCUUAAAGCACGGCUACAGAUGGUAUUUCAUGAAGUAUAACAGACAUCUGGUGAAAAAAACAAGGGGGAAGAGUCAACCCAUGGAACAAAAAGAACCACAGAAGAACACCAAGAGCCUUGAUAAAAAUCUUGUUAUUGAGGGAACAGCAGAUAUUGCCCACUGACUCAAUGAGGAACCAGAAAGAAGUCUCACAGCUAUGGAGUCUUUUCCUUCCCCCACAAGCAGGAAAACUCCUUUUGGAGGACAGACUUAUGACUUUGUUUUCUCAUGUUCUGUUCACUGAAGAAGAAAACACAAAGAAGCAAGGAAGAAGUUCUGGAAAAGAAGGUCCCAUCUGGAGCACCUGGACCUAAAAGUGUGCAUGUCUUCUAUCUUUCCUGAAAGCUAGCAUGAGAUGGAGGAAUUGUGCCAAUGGUACUCCAGCAAUCCCACAGAUCUCUGUAUAAACUGCUGCUAUAAACCCUUGUCAAACCAUGCAAGUUUGGAGUAAGUGCUGGAUUUAUAUUUCUCUAACAUUCCAGUGACUUUGAGUCAGGGUGUGGUAGGUAAAUGAAGGGCUAAGUGGUAAGCUUUGGAAAUGUUUUGUGAGGAAAUCCAGUUGUGGUGGCCUGAACACUGUGAUAUAUGUCUAGGUCCUGGACAAGGAGCAGACUGGCACCUCAGAGAAGUCGUCACAGAAAAAUCCCCUUGGUAGCAGCAGAGCUGACUUUGACCAGACUCUCCAGAGGCAUACACAGCACCUGCAAGAAUCCCAUGCUGUCAGCAUCAGCUAAUAGCUGAAAAGAGCUUAGAUUGAUCUCAUCCUUGCACUAGUCUAGUUCCGAAAUGUACUUUGGUUUCCUGUGAUAGCAUUAUAAGGAAUAGAAGUUUCCGUCUCUGCAAUAAGUAUCUCAUAUUUUAAGAGAUUUGUUUAUUUCUCCAGCAAGGAUCUUUUUUUGAAUUCUCACUGCAAAACUCUUUCAGAUUAUAAUUUUAGAUGGGGUGAGGGGAGGACGAUAUUAAUCACGUAGCUAUUCUUAGGCAGGGGAAGAAUUAUCUAUGUUUCCACCUAGGAACAACUGCAAUGACAUGUGGUGGUGCAGAUCCAGCCCCAUACUCCCCAGCUGUGCAAUUCAGAUCUGGACUCACUAAUGACUGUGUAGUCUUGCCCUGAACAGGUUCUA
rnacentral:lncRNA from 1 species